UCUGAAUGAUGAUUUCAACAGAUGACGAGUCUGAUGUAAUAACCAUUCCAUUCAUCAUGAAGACGAAUCGAGGCAUUUGUCUGAGAGAU
rnacentral:snoRNA from 1 species